rnacentral:rRNA from 1 species
UACAGAGGGUGCGAGCGUUAAUCGGAAUUACUGGGCGUAAAGCGCGUGUAGGCGGCUUUGCAAGUCGGGUGUGAAAUCCCCAGGCUUAACCUGGGAACUGCAUUCGAGACUGCAUUGCUAGAGUAUGGGAGAGGGAAGUGGAAUUUCCGGUGUAGCGGUGAAAUGCGUAGAUAUCGGGAGGAACAUCAGUGGCGAAAGCGACUUCCUGGACCAAUACUGACGCUCAUGUGCGAAAGCGUGGGGAGCAAACAGG